GCAAAUAUAGUUUAAUAAAACGCUAGACUGUGGCUCUAAAAAUGGAGGUUAAACUCCUCUUACUUGCC
rnacentral:tRNA from 1 species